UACGUAGGGCGCGAGCGUUGUCCGGAAUUAUUGGGCGUAAAGAGCUCGUAGGUGGCUUGUUGCGUCUGCCGUGAAAGCCCGUGGCUUAACUACGGGUCUGCGGUGGAUACGGGCAGGCUAGAGGGCUGGUAGGGGCAAGCGGAAUUCCUGGUGUAGCGGUGAAAUGCGCAGAUAUCAGGAGGAACACCGGUGGCGAAAGCGCUCUACUGGGCCUGCACUGACACUGAGGGACGAAAGCUAGGGGAGCGAAAGGG
rnacentral:rRNA from 1 species